CAGAAUCAUUUCCAGUCGUUCUAGCAAGGGAGUCGCCUUGAUUUUAAUAUUUAUCUGGAGGUGUAUUCCUAAUGAGAAUAAGAAAAGGAUUAGUUUCAUUAUCCUGAUCGAGUAGCAUCCUUACUACACCACCAGGUUCCAUAGUUUGAUCAAGACCUCACUGCUGGCUUGUUUGAAAAAUAAUAAUAAUCUUAUAGCGAGAGUCACACCUGGACCCGUGGCUCCGUCUUAAACUCGGGUGCUGAAGAUCUGCUCCUCUGGAACGGCCUGAUUAAUUCAGUGCGGCGCCUGCAGUUUCCGUGAGAGAAGUCAGAAGCAGAGACGCCUCAGAGUGAAGGGCAGCCUUUGCCCCCAGCAGCCGGCAUUGCUAAAGACUGAGAUUGAGAGGGAGAACAAGAAAGAGGUGCAGUGGCUUUUCUCAGAAUGUCAUUCAAGUCUUCACCUUCAAAUAAAGUAGAGGUCAUUAGUAGAGAAUUAUCUCAUUAACAACCCUGCUUGCCGGCUCUCCAGGGACCAGUUUCAGUAGAGGCCAGGCCUGAUAUAUGGAUGGAGUUUUAAUGUGCUCUAUAAAAACGAAAGGGCCAAGCCAUAGACUGGGCUGUAAAACUCAGUCCGUGACAAUGCCACCACAGCUUAGUAGAUAAAAGGCGUUGGCAGGCUCUUGGAGCUGAUUUAGGAUUUGUUUCCUGUAUCUAAAUCAAGCUGAAUCAUUAAGGAUGAAAGCUCAGGUCACAAAACAGUUAGCAAAGCUGAUUGGCGCUCUCUUGGACGGCUCACGGUCCUGAGCAGCUGUUUGAGCGGAGGGGAGUUAACUUCCUCACUGUGGCUCAGUACUCAGUGUGAGUAAAUAAUUAGACAUGGAUAAACACAAUCUAAAAAGCAUAAUGAAUAUUUUGUGAGGGAGACAGUUUGUGAGUAAAGCUUGCUGGGAAAUGACUACUGAAAUGCGCCUUGUUUCGAGUGGCUACUACACUGCAGCCAAAUAACUGAGGAAUCAACAUUCUUAUGAAGUAGCAUCACUCUAGCAGUUUUUUAUCCACUUUUUAGUAACUUUUAUUCAGUGCAUCUCAGUGGAUUUGAUUCAUUUACUCAAGGCUAAAGUAAAUUCGGUCAUUGUUUACUUCAUUACCUACAGAUCCAAAAAUUACAAAAGCACAAUGAAAUGAUUGUAAAAGUAGUCCAUAUGACUCUUUUGCUAUGUUUCAAGUCUUUUGAUGCCAUAUGAUAACGCUAUGUGAAGAAUAUUCAUUAUUUACAACAGUAAUCUGAUAUCAAUUCGAUCUUGAACCGAUUAAUUAGCAGUUAUUAUUAUUAGCAAGUUAUUACUUUAACACCUGUGUGAAGUCAUUAAUGACAGUUCCUAUAUUGUUGAACCAGUGUGGUUCGAAUGACAGAUGUGCGACAAAGGAGACUGUCGUGACUGGCUAGUUAAAGGGAUAGUUCACCCAAAAAUGAAAAUUAUCCCAUGAUUCACUCACCCUCAAGCCAUCCUAGGUGUAUAUGACUAUCUUCUUUAGACGAACACAGUCGGAGAUACAUGUAAGCAAUAAGGCACGAAAGGCUGUGCUCUAUCAUGAAUAAGUCACGGCUGAAGGGCGUUGUUAGGCACAGCGCUAAGCGGAGUGCCUGCAACCCCUUCUGCCAUGACUUAUUCACGAUACAGCACUAGCCUUGACUAACCAUUUGGUUACCACACAAUACAAAUAUUAAAGCCAAAAAUAUGUAUUAAUGCAACUUUCAUGAAGUAAACUUUCACUAAAAGCCUUCCUUCCGCCAGAUAACAUAGUCCCUGACCGUGAACAGCAACAGAAGUUACAUUAUUACGGCAUUAGAUGGCGGCAAAGACUGUAUUUAUGUCAGUCAGUAGCAAAGACUUUUACAGUGAAAAGACUGAAUUGUUUUGAACACGGAACAAGACGCAACUGACAAAUGCUUUGACUAGCGCUGUCAGUCACGGGAAAACCCCUUAACUGUUAAAAGGACAAGAUAAUACAUUGGACAUUUAAACAUAUUUUUUAUUAUGAACAUAGGAUUGACCUGAAGGAAAAUGCUAAAUCUGAAUGCAGGUAAUAAACUCGCUCAAUCGAUCUCUUUCUCACAAUACUCUUCUACAUAAUACGGUAAGCUUCAAUUCAGUUUACGUUAAUAAGAGUGGUUGCUAAGGGUGUUGUGUAGUGAUACACAGAACCGUUGGGUGAAGCGGUCAUAACCGUGUUUUGUCGUGAAUAAAACACAGCUAUUGACCAAUCAGAAUCAAGGACAGGAACUAAAUGUUUUAUAAUUAAAAAUAUGCUUAGUCCUCCAAGGUUUAUAAUGGUUGUGAAUGGGGGGGACGCUUUUUGAAGCCAAAAAUAAUGCAUCCAUCCAUAAAAAAAGUAAUCCAUACGGCUCCAGGGGGUUAAUAAAGGCCUUCUGAAGCGAAGCGAUGCGUUUUUGUAAUUAAAAUAUCCAUAUUUAAAACUUAAUUCAAAAUAACUAGCUUCCGGUGGACGACCGUGCGCAGAAUGCGCAAGUCGAUUUGCGGCGGAAGAGUAUCCUUUGACCUGACGCACAACGUAAUGACGAACUCGGAGGCGGUCAUGGAUUAUUGAAGUCUAAAACGAUCAUUUUUAAAGAGAAUUGUCAAAGGAUUUCAAUAUAAGAGAAGAGGAGCUUAAAUUUGUUGCACAGCCCUAUUUGUUUGAACCACAAGAGGCGUCUAAGCUUACAAUACUCUUACAUCCAUAUUUCUGGUCUUAAAAUUUCAAAAGAAAUGUUACAAGUUUGAUGGUUGUGAUGUCAAAUGUCAUUUGAAUUUUCACACUUUCAUCUGCUCAAGGAAAUAAAAAUUCAGCACCUAGAAACAACAUACCCACUGACUUGUGCUGUUUAUUUUUAACACCUAAUCAUUUCCAUGCUCGAGUUUCUGCAAUGAUGGUGUGAAAAAAAGCCUAUUUUAAGUGUUGUAAAAUCACUGUAUUGCACCACCCUGCAAACUCAUCACUCCUCACCAGCUGUGGAGGGAACAUUUCUGUCGGAUUGGACAGCUGUUUAACACAAACACAACAUCCCACCAUCUGCAGGGAGAAACCUGUUGGCCAAUUAUACCCGUCGAGUGUGCAGUUAUUGGUAGGUUGACAAUUAAGAACUGAUGCCAUUCGUACUUGAGCAUUAGGCACAGACAGUGAUACUGCAAUGCAGCGUGGGAAGUGAAGAACCAGGCUGCUGAUUACAACCAUCAAUUAAGAGUUUCUUUUCUCACAGUCGCUCAUCACAGUUAUUCCAGACAUUUGCUUUUAGCCUUAUGAAAUGGUAUUUUAAAUAGUUCGGCUCGGAAAAGUGCAGACAAUUUGGGAAACUUGCAGGCUAUUUGUCAACCACAAAAAAAAAAAAAAAAAAAAGGUUAGCUCUGAGGUAGUAAAUAUAUCAUUAGUCACCGCUGUUAUUUUUUGUGUUUAAAAUAACAGAUAAACAGUCCUUUAAUUAAAAAGCAUGGUACCAUGCCCCAAGUCCAUGUUUUGAGACUAAUUGGGCAAGCUGCUCAAAAUAAGUAGCUAAGCUACAAGCUUCUCUAAAAAAGUAUUAAAGGGUUAGUUCACACAAAAAAUGUGAAAAAUUCUGUCAUUAUUUACUCACCCUCAUGUCAUUCCAAACCCGUAAGACUUUAGUUUAUCUUUAGAACACAAAUGAAGAUCAAACGCACGUUCACGAGAGCACCACAACACAUGCAUGUUGUCUUGAGAGCAGACAUUGGAUGCACAUUGGAGAAUAUAUAUUUUGAAAAUACAGUGGUAAUUUUUUUUUUUUUUUGUGCAAACAAAGCACUCGCAACACUUUAGUCUUUAGUACCUUUCUGGUACUUGAAAGUGGUAGUUGCGUAGGUUGUCAAUGGAGGGACAGAAAGCUCUCAAAUUUCAUUUAAAAUAUCUUCAUUUGUGUUCCAAAGAUGAACAAAAGUCUUACUUGUUUGGAACGACAUGAGGGUGAGUAAUUAAAGUCAGAAUUUUCAUUUUUGGGUGAACUAUCCCUUUAAAUAUUCUUAACCUGUUAGCGUUCCACUGUACUGCCCACAAUACACAUACCUUUCAAAAGAGACCAAAACAAUGCAUAUACUCCAAAGGUUCAAGAACAGCAUGCGAUUUACUUUGGGUAUGCCUUUUUAGGCAUUUUAGGCAAAUUUUACAGGAAUGCUAAGGGGUUAAAGUUAACGUUUAGAGAAAACUACUAGUUUUUGGCCUACUGCAAUCUACAUGGAAAAAGUAGUUUCUUGCAUUUAAGCAACUUCAAAACUGCCAUCUUCAAAUGACACACAUUUGACUUCAUUGGACACACAUUUGCUUGAAUAUCAGACUAAAAGACAUAGGUACAAGACUGUAUACUUGAUUUUAAUGAGGGAAAGAACUACAGUCCCAUGAAGCAUUGUAAAUGGAAUAAUCAAAAUAAAAUGACUGAUUUAACAAUGUUGAUAUAUUUUGUUUAUUGCAAAAUCUGCAUAUAUAUAAGUGGUUCUUAAAUUAAAGUGUUCUUUUGGCGUGAUUGUUGUUUCAGUACGAGAUUGGAGAUUUCUCUGCAGAAUCAUGGGUAAUGUAGUUUUUCACCAGGAAUUCCACUGUCCAAUUAGAUUAUUUAAAAAAUAAGUUGAUAUGAUUUGUGCUGGUGGCUUCAAUUAAAUACCAUCAAUUAACAACCUCGUAGCUCACAAUAGGUUUGUCU